UACGGGGGGAGCAAGCGUUGUUCGGAUUUACUGGGCGUAAAGGGCGCGUAGGCGGCGCAACAAGUCACUUGUGAAAUCUCCGGGCUUAACCCGGAGCGGCCAAGUGAUACUGUCGUGCUAGAGUGCGGAAGGGGCUACUGGAAUUCUCGGUGUAGCGGUGAAAUGCGUAGAGAUCCGGAAGAACACCGGUGGCGAAGGCGGGUCUCUGGGCCGAUACUGACGCUGAGGAGCGAAAGCGUGGGGAGCGAACAGG
rnacentral:rRNA from 1 species